CAGUCGCCACGGGAAUACGUAGGGUGCAAGCGUUGUCCGGAAUUAUUGGGCGUAAAGAGCUCGUAGGCGGUUUGUCGCGUCUGCUGUGAAAACGCGAGGCUCAACCUCGCGCCUGCAGUGGGUACGGGCAGACUAGAGUGCGGUAGGGGAGAUUGGAAUUCCUGGUGUAGCGGUGGAAUGCGCAGAUAUCAGGAGGAACACCGAUGGCGAAGGCAGAUCUCUGGGCCGUAACUGACGCUGAGGAGCGAAAGCGUGGGGAGCGAACAGGAUUAGAUACCCCGGUAGUCCCUGUCUCUUAUAC
rnacentral:rRNA from 1 species